AGUGAACGCUGGCGGUAGGCCUAACACAUGCAAGUCGAACGGCAGCACAGUAAGAGCUUGCUCUUACGGGUGGCGAGUGGCGGACGGGUGAGGAAUACAUAGGAAUCUACUUUUUCGUGGGGGAUAACGUAGGGAAACUUACGCUAAUACCGCAUACGACCUACGGGUGAAAGCAGGGGAUCUUCGGACCCUGCGCGAUUGAAUGAGCCGAUGUCGGAUUAGCUAGUUGGCGGGGUAAAGGUCCACCAAGGCGACGAUCCGUAGCUGGUCUGAGAGGAUGAUCAGCCACACUGGAACUGAGACACGGUCCAGACUCCUACGGGAGGCAGCAGUGGGGAAUAUUGGACAAUGGGCGCAAGCCUGAUCCAGCCAUACCGCGUGGGUGAAGAAGGCCUUCGGGUUGUAAAGCCCUUUUGUUGGGAAAGAAAAGCAGCAGGUUAAUACCCCGCUGUUCUGACGGUACCCAAAGAAUAAGCACCGGCUAACUUCGUG
rnacentral:rRNA from 1 species